GCUGGCGUAGCUCAGUUGGUAGAGCGGCGCACUCGUAAUGCGUAGGUCGUGGGUUCAAGUCCCUCCGCCAGCACCA
rnacentral:tRNA from 1 species